AGAGUUUGAUCAUGGCUCAGGAUUAACGCUAGCGGCAGGCCUAAUACAUGCAAGUCGAACGGCAGCACGGGUAGCAAUACCUGGUGGCGAGUGGCGCACGGGUGCGUAACGCGUAUGCAAUCUACCUAUAACUGGGGAAUAGCCUUCCGAAAGGAAGAUUAAAACCGCAUAAUAUCACGAAACGGCAUCGCUUUGUGAUCAAAUCUCCGGAGGUUAUAGAUGAGCAUGCGUGACAUUAGCUAGUUGGUGAGGUAACGGCUCACCAAGGCGACGAUGUCUAGGGGGUCUGAGAGGAUGAUCCCCCACACUGGUACUGAGACACGGACCAGACUCCUACGGGAGGCAGCAGUAAGGAAUAUUGGACAAUGGCCGCAAGGCUGAUCCAGCCAUGCCGCGUGCAGGAUGAAGGUGCUCUGCAUUGUAAACUGCUUUUGUUUGGGAAUAAACCCCUCUACGUGUAGAGGGCUGAAUGUACCAAAAGAAUAAGGGUCGGCUAACUUCGUGCCAGCAGCCGCGGUAAUACGAAGGACCCAAGCGUUAUCCGGAUUUAUUGGGUUUAAAGGGUGCGUAGGCGGAUUAUUAAGUCAGUGGUGAAAGCCUGCAGCUUAACUGCAGAAUUGCCAUUGAUACUGAUGAUCUUGAGUAUGAUUGAGGUGGGCGGAAUGUGUCAUGUAGCGGUGAAAUGCUUAGAUAUGACACAGAACACCGAUUGCGAAGGCAGCUCACUAAGCCAUAACUGACGCUGAUGCACGAAAGCGUGGGGAGCAAACAGGAUUAGAUACCCUAGUAGUCC
rnacentral:rRNA from 1 species